GGGGGUGACAUGGCUUCGACGCCGGUUACAAAACCGGAAGGUGCAUGCGGAGAGGGCGACAUCUCUCGUAAAUCAAAGUCGCAAAAAAGUAGUCGCAAACGACGAAAACUACGCACUGGCAGCCUAAUACCCUGCCUACGAUCGAAGUUGCCUGCCCAUGGGCGAUGGACAUCGGCGCAAAAAACAUGGGAUCGCUUGAAGCCUUGUCUCGCGGCUGACAGCUAAACCUCAGAGGCUCGCCUUCUACAUCCUGUCGCUCGGGCCGUAGCGGGCUAAAUCAAUAGAGACGACUAAGCAUGUAGAGCCCAAGGCAGCGGACUGACGGACGCGGGUUCGAUCCCCGCCACCUCCACCA
rnacentral:tmRNA from 1 species